rnacentral:tRNA from 2 species
ACGAGUGUAGCUCAAUUGGUAGAGCAACGGUCUCCAAAACCGUAGGUUGCGGGUUCAAGUCCUGCCACUCGUG